ACGGGGCAGUGUAAUUCGAGGGUUGCCCCCACAUGUCUGCAUAAACCCAUUAUAAAGCGGGAGUCACCAUCCCAUGUAUGGUCUCGGGUUAGUGACCCCAAGUGAGGAAGUCCAGGUUGGUAGUCCCGGCCCCCAGGUUAGUGACCCUGGGUGAAGUCCAGGUAACCAAUCCUGGCCCUGGGGUCCGAGUGACUCGGCCUUGGGAAGGCAAGUCCGAUCGGCAGGAACCUGGCGCCUGAGGAGGAAAAGAUCGAGCUCGUCACCCUGCGGCAGUCCGAGUGGAUGCCUUUCGGGAGAAUCACGAGAGUUUUUGAGGAUCCUGAAAGUGGGUUUUGACUGGAAUGUCAUACCUGAGAGACAUGUGCAUGGACUCAGAUGUGAACAACUUUAAGGAACUAAGACUGACUUUAUAAAGCCAACAAAGCCCCUUGGAAGAACUGGCCUGGUACCUUGCUUACAGAGUUCCCAGCAGCCUUACCAGAAGCCACAAAACUGCAAAUAGUAAUAGAAACGAAACCCAGAAUAGAAGCGCCAGCCUUCUGAGGCCCUCUCAACUGACCAGUGAUGGAGACCUAGCUGCACCCUUUACUGCGCCCCCUUCUCAGCACGAGGCAGCCAGAGCGGUCAUCACCCCCUUUCCCUAGCAGCAGCUAGAGUCUCUAUC